GACGAACGCUGGCGGCGUGCUUAACACAUGCAAGUCGAACGGAAAGGCCCUGCUUUUGUGGGGUGCUCGAGUGGCGAACGGGUGAGUAACACGUGAGUAACCUGCCCUUGACUUUGGGAUAACUUCAGGAAACUGGGGCUAAUACCGGAUAGGAGCUCCUGCUGCAUGGUGGGGGUUGGAAAGUCUCGGCGGUUGGGGAUGGACUCGCGGCUUAUCAGCUUGUUGGUGGGGUAGUGGCUUACCAAGGCUUUGACGGGUAGCCGGCCUGAGAGGGUGACCGGCCACAUUGGGACUGAGAGACGGCCCAGACUCCUACGGGAGGCAGCAGUGGGGAAUAUUGCACAAUGGGCGGAAGCCUGAUGCAGCAACGCCGCGUGCGGGAUGACGGCCUUCGGGUUGUAAACCGCUUUCGCCUGUGACGAAGCGUGAGUGACGGUAAUGGGUAAAGAAGCACCGGCUAACUACGUG
rnacentral:rRNA from 1 species